rnacentral:rRNA from 1 species
UACGGAGGUGGCGAGCGUUGUCCGAAGUUACUGGGCGUAAAGCGCGCGUAGGCGGGCCCUUAAGUGAGGGGUGAAAGGCUGAGGCUCAACCUCAUGUUUGUCCUCUCAUACUGUGGGUCUUGAGUGAGGCAGGGAGAAGUGGAAUGGCUGGUGUAGCGGUGAAAUGCGUAGAUAUCAGUCGGAACACCGGUGGCGAAGGCGGCUUCUUGGGCCUUAACUGACGCUGAGGCGCGAAAGCUGGGGGAGCGAACGGG